GACGAGCGGCGGACGGGUGAGUAAUACUUAGGAAUCUACCUAGUAGUGGGGGAUAGCACGGGGAAACUCGUAUUAAUACCGCAUACGACCUACGGGAGAAAGGGGGCAGUUUACUGCUCUCGCUAUUAGAUGAGCCUAAGUCGGAUUAGCUAGAUGGUGGGGUAAAGGCCUACCAUGGCGACGAUCUGUAGCUGGUCUGAGAGGAUGAUCAGCCACACCGGGACUGAGACACGGCCCGGACUCCUACGGGAGGCAGCAGUGGGGAAUAUUGGACAAUGGGGGCAACCCUGAUCCAGCCAUGCCGCGUGUGUGAAGAAGGCCUUUUGGUUGUAAAGCACUUUAAGCAGUGAAGAAGACUCCAUGGUUAAUACCCAUGGACGAUGACAUUAGCUGCAGAAUAAGCACCGGCUAACUCUGUGCCAGCAGCCGCGGUAAUACAGAGGGUGCAAGCGUUAAUCGGAAUUACUGGGCGUAAAGGGAGCGUAGGUGGCUCGAUAAGUCAGAUGUGAAAUCCCCGGGCUCAACCUGGGAACUGCAUCUGAUACUGUUGAGCUAGAGUAUGUGAGAGGAAGGUAGAAUUCCAGGUGUAGCGGUGAAAUGCGUAGAGAUCUGGAGGAAUACCGAUGGCGAAGGCAGCCUUCUGGCAUAAUACUGACACUGAGGCUCGAAAGCGUGGGUAGCAAACAGGAUUAGAUACCCUGGUAGUCCACGCCGUAAACGAUGUCUACUAGUCGUUGGGUCCCUUGAGGACUUAGUGACGCAGCUAACGCAAUAAGUAGACCGCCUGGGGAGUACGGCCGCAAGGUUAAAACUCAAAUGAAUUGACGGGGGCCCGCACAAGCGGUGGAGCAUGUGGUUUAAUUCGAUGCAACGCGAAGAACCUUACCUGGUCUUGACAUAUCUAGAAUCCUGCAGAGAUGCGGGAGUGCCUUCGGGAAUUAGAAUACAGGUGCUGCAUGGCUGUCGUCAGCUCGUGUCGUGAGAUGUUGGGUUAAGUCCCGCAACGAGCGCAACCCUUGUCCUUAGUUACCAGCGGGUUAAGCCGGGAACUCUAAGGAUACUGCCAGUGACAAACUGGAGGAAGGCGGGGACGACGUCAAGUCAUCAUGGCCCUUACGACCAGGGCUACACACGUGCUACAAUGGUAGGUACAGAGGGCAGCUACACAGCGAUGUGAUGCGAAUCUCAAAAAGCCUAUCGUAGUCCAGAUUGGAGUCUGCAACUCGACUCCAUGAAGUAGGAAU
rnacentral:rRNA from 1 species